rnacentral:rRNA from 1 species
UUAAAUUGAAGAGUUUGAUCAUGGCUCAGAUUGAACGCUGGCGGCAGGCCUAACACAUGCAAGUCGAACGGUAACAGGAAACAGCUUGCUGUUUCGCUGACGAGUGGCGGACGGGUGAGUAAUGUCUGGGAAACUGCCCGAUGGAGGGGGAUAACUACUGGAAACGGUAGCUAAUACCGCAUAACGUCGCAAGACCAAAGAGGGGGACCUUAGGGCCUCUUGCCAUCGGAUGUGCCCAGAUGGGAUUAGCUAGUAGGUGGGGUAAAGGCUCACCUAGGCGACGAUCCCUAGCUGGUCUGAGAGGAUGACCAGCCACACUGGAACUGAGACACGGUCCAGACUCCUACGGGAGGCAGCAGUGGGGAAUAUUGCACAAUGGGCGCAAGCCUGAUGCAGCCAUGCCGCGUGUAUGAAGAAGGCCUUCGGGUUGUAAAGUACUUUCAGCGGGGAGGAAGGGAGUAAAGUUAAUACCUUUGCUCAUUGACGUUACCCGCAGAAGAAGCACCGGCUAACUCCGUGCCAGCAGCCGCGGUAAUACGGAGGGUGCAAGCGUUAAUCGGAAUUACUGGGCGUAAAGCGCACGCAGGCGGUUUGUUAAGUCAGAUGUGAAAUCCCCGGGCUCAACCUGGGAACUGCAUCUGAUACUGGCAAGCUUGAGUCUCGUAGAGGGGGGUAGAAUUCCAGGUGUAGCGGUGAAAUGCGUAGAGAUCUGGAGGAAUACCGGUGGCGAAGGCGGCCCCCUGGACGAAGACUGACGCUCAGGUGCGAAAGCGUGGGGAGCAAACAGGAUUAGAUACCCUGGUAGUCCACGCCGUAAACGAUGUCGACUUGGAGGUUGUGCCCUUGAGGCGUGGCUUCCGGAGCUAACGCGUUAAGUCGACCGCCUGGGGAGUACGGCCGCAAGGUUAAAACUCAAAUGAAUUGACGGGGGCCCGCACAAGCGGUGGAGCAUGUGGUUUAAUUCGAUGCAACGCGAAGAACCUUACCUGGUCUUGACAUCCACGGAAGUUUUCAGAGAUGAGAAUGUGCCUUCGGGAACCGUGAGACAGGUGCUGCAUGGCUGUCGUCAGCUCGUGUUGUGAAAUGUUGGGUUAAGUCCCGCAACGAGCGCAACCCUUAUCCUUUGUUGCCAGCGGUCCGGCCGGGAACUCAAAGGAGACUGCCAGUGAUAAACUGGAGGAAGGUGGGGAUGACGUCAAGUCAUCAUGGCCCUUACGACCAGGGCUACACACGUGCUACAAUGGCGCAUACAAAGAGAAGCGACCUCGCGAGAGCAAGCGGACCUCAUAAAGUGCGUCGUAGUCCGGAUUGGAGUCUGCAACUCGACUCCAUGAAGUCGGAAUCGCUAGUAAUCGUGGAUCAGAAUGCCACGGUGAAUACGUUCCCGGGCCUUGUACACACCGCCCGUCACACCAUGGGAGUGGGUUGCAAAAGAAGUAGGUAGCUUAACCUUCGGGAGGGCGCUUACCACUUUGUGAUUCAUGACUGGGGUGAAGUCGUAACAAGGUAACCGUAGGGGAACCUGCGGUUGGAUCACCUCCUUACCUUAAAGAAGC